rnacentral:rRNA from 1 species
GAUGAACGCUAGCGGCAGGCUUAACACAUGCAAGUCGAGGGGUAUUGGUUUUCGGACCAAGAGACCGGCGCACGGGUGCGUAACGCGUAUGCAAUCUACCUUUUGCAGAGGGAUAGCCCAGAGAAAUUUGGAUUAAUACCUCAUAGUAUAGUACUUUGGCAUCAAGGAACUAUUAAAGUCACAACGGCAAAAGAUGAGCAUGCGUCCAUUAGCUAGUUGGUAAGGUAACGGCUUACCAAGGCUACGAUGGGUAGGGGUCCUGAGAGGGAGAUCCCCCACACUGGUACUGAGACACGGACCAGACUCCUACGGGAGGCAGCAGUGAGGAAUAUUGGACAAUGGGCGCAAGCCUGAUCCAGCCAUGCCGCGUGCAGGAUGACGGUCCUAUGGAUUGUAAACUGCUUUUAUACAGGAAGAAACACUCCGACGUGUCGGAGCUUGACGGUACUGUAAGAAUAAGGAUCGGCUAACUCCGUGCCAGCAGCCGCGGUAAAG